rnacentral:rRNA from 1 species
CCUACGAGAGGCUGCAGUGGGGAAUAUUGCACAAUGGGGGGAACCCUGAUGCAGCGACGCCGCGUGAGUGAAGAAGUAUUUCGGUACGUAAAGCUCUAUCAGCAGGGAAGAAAAAAGGACGGUACCUGAGUAAGAAGCCCUGGCUAACUACGUGCAAGCAGCCGCGGUAAUACGAAGGGGGCAGGCGUGAUCCGGAAUUCAGGGGUGUAAAGGGUGCGUAGACGGCAAUGCAAGUACGGAGUGGAAUGCGGCAGCUCAACUGCCGAACUGCUCUGGGAACUGUCUGGCUUGAGUGCAGGCGGGGUAGGCGGAAUUCCUGGUGUAGCGGUGAAAUGCGUAGAUAUCAGGAGGAACCCCGGUGGCGAAGGCGGCUUACUGGACUGUAACUGACGUUGAGGCUCGAAAGCGUGGGGAGCAAACAGGAUUAGAUACCCCGGUAGUC